GCUGGGCUUGGUAGCGCGAGCCUAUAAUCCAAGUGGGAGCAUUAAGAUGGUGGAACAGUUGGCCUUUCCUUGAAGGCUGGGCCUUGGCUGUUAUCUAUUGGCUUGCCCGUUCCAAGUGGUGAGUUGUGCCAUGGGUUCUCUGCGAAGGCAGAGGCUGCUUCUUGGUCCUUAGAUUGGAGGGCAGUGCGUGAGGCUGGCUUCACAGAGCAGCGAAAACCUCCUCCUCUCUGCAGUGGAAGGAUAACUGGCCAAUGCAUCCACUACCCAAUAAUGCCUGACGGGCUGUCUAAAUUGAACCACCAUCUUU
rnacentral:SRP_RNA from 1 species